ensembl:lncRNA
GUCCUCCAAUGGGGGUCCCACCCUGAUUUGGUGGGGGUCCCAGCACUGAGUGUGGAUAUGGGGGGGCCCAAUGGGCGGUCAUGGUGCCACCAAUGGGGGGAGAACCCAAUUAACAUCAGUGUUAAUUGGAUGGGGGGAUAACGAACCGCGGUCGGAGAGCAGAGCUACGGUGGCCGCCAUGGUUGGGAUGGGAGGUGCUGCAAUGGGGGUCCCAGCAUUGAGUUGGGGGGACAUGGGGGGGACAUGGGGGGGGGUCAUGGUGAUGACAAUGGGGGGAGGGACUCAAUUAAUGUCAUUGUUAAUUGGAUGGGGGGAUAACGAACCCACAUUGGGGAGCGCAGCUAUGGUGGCCACCAUGGUUGAGGACUGGAGGUCCUCCAAUGGGGGUCUCAGCAUUGAUUUGGGGGGGGGUCCCAGCAGUGAGUGUGGAUAUGGGGGGGCCCAAUGGGUCAUCAUGGUGCCACCAAUGGUGGGAGGGACUCAUUAACACCACCGCUAAUUGGAUGCCGGGAUAACGAACCGCGGUCGGAGAGCAGAGCUAUGGUGGCCACCAUGGUUGGGAUGGGAGGUGCUGCAAUGGGGGUCUCAGUGGGGACAUGGGGGGGACAUGGGGGGGGCCCAAUGUGUCAUCAUGGUGCCACCAAUGGGGGGAGAACCCAAUUAACGUCAGUGUUAAUUGGAUGGGGGGAUAACGAACCCACAUUGGGGAGCGCAGCUAUGAUGGCCGCCAUGGUUGGGAUGGGAGGUGCUCCAAUGGGGGUCUCAGUGGGGACAUGGGGGGGAUAUGUGGGGGACAUUGGGGGGGGCUCAAUGGGUCAUCAUGGUGCCACCAAUGGUGGGAGGGACUCAUUAACACUACCCCUAAUUGGAUGGGGGGAUAACGAACCGCGGUCGGAGAGCAGAGCUAUGGUGGCCACCAUGGUUGGGAUGGGAGGUGCUGCAAUGGGGGUCUCAGCAUUGAGU